rnacentral:rRNA from 1 species
GAUGAACGCUAGCUACAGGCUUAACACAUGCAAGUCGAGCGGGGACAUGCGACGGAGACGAAGUUUUCGGAUGGAGUCAAAGAUGUAUGUUCUAGCGGCGGACGGGUGAGUAACGCGUGAGCAACCUGUCCCUUACAGGGGGAUAACACAGCGAAAGUUGUACUAAUACCGCAUAAGACCACAGUAUCACAUGGUACAGGGGUCAAAGGAGCAAUCCGGUGUGGGGUGGGCUCGCGUCCGAUUAGAUAGUUGGUGAGGUAACGGCCCACCAAGUCAACGAUCGGUAGCCGACCUGAGAGGGUGAUCGGCCACAUUGGGACUGAGACACGGCCCAAACUCCUACGGGAGGCAGCAGUGGGGAAUAUUGGGCAAUGGGGGGAACCCUGACCCAGCAACGCCGCGUGAGGGAAGAAGGUUUUCGGGUCGUAAACCUCUGUCCUUGGUGAAGAGGAGAGACGGUAGCCAGAGAGCCCGGCUACUACGUGCAGCAGCGCGUAUACGUAGGGGCAGCGUGUCGAUGAUACGUAAGGCGCGUAGCGCCGUAGUCUGAUGAAGCCUGGUUACUGGAAUUGCUUUGUAAUGUGCUGUGCGGGAGAAUUGGAUUUCUUGCGCUUAUGCUAUUUGGGGAACCCUCGGGGAAAUUUUUGUUUACUCUCAGCCAAUUGGAAGAAAAUCAGA